CACAUACUCCCUCCGUUCCAAAAUAGAUGACUCAAUUUUGUAGUAAGUUAGUACAAAGUUGAGUCAUCUAUUUUGGAACGGAGGGAGUAUUAU
rnacentral:pre_miRNA from 1 species